rnacentral:rRNA from 1 species
GAUCAUGGCUCAGAUUGAACGCUGGCGGCAUGCCUUACACAUGCAAGUCGAACGGCAGCACGGACUUCGGUCUGGUGGCGAGUGGCGAACGGGUGAGUAAUACAUCGGAACGUGCCUGGUAGUGGGGGAUAACUACUCGAAAGAGUGGCUAAUACCGCAUGAGAUCUACGGAUGAAAGCAGGGGAUCGCAGGACCUUGUGCUACUAGAGCGGCCGAUGGCAGAUUAGG